rnacentral:rRNA from 1 species
GACGAACGCUGGCGGCGUGCUUAACACAUGCAAGUCGAGCGGUAAGGCCCUUUCGGGGGUACGACGAGCGGCGAACGGGUGAGUAACACGUGGGUGACCUGCCCUCCAGCUCUGGGAUAAGCCUGGGAAACCGGGGUCUAAUACUGGAUAUGACUCCAUGACGCAUGUUGUGGGGUGGAAAGCCUUGUGCGGCUGAGGAUGGGCCCGCGGCCUAUCAGCUUGUUGGUGGGGUGAUGGCCUACCAAGGCGACGACGGGUAGCCGGCCUGAGAGGGCGACCGGCCACACUGGGACUGAGACACGGCCCAGACUCCUACGGGAGGCAGCAGUGGGGAAUCUUGCGCAAUGGGCGAAAGCCUGACGCAGCGACGCCGCGUGAGGGAUGACGGCCUGG